AGGAAGACCAGCAGUCUCAACUAACCUGGACCCCUGGGAUCUCUCAGACACUGAGUCACCAACCAGGCAGCAUACACCAGCUGAUAUGAGGCAGCCAACAAUUAUACAGCAGAGAACUGCCGGGUCUAGACUCAGUCAGAGAAGAUGCACCUAACCCUCAAGAGAUUUGAGGCCCCAGACUCCUAGUAAUGGAGGAUAAGGAACCUGACCUGGAAAUCUUCUACAGUUAGGCAAAGCAUUCAGUGGUGGGACUAGGACACCAACCCAGCCACAAAACCUUCGAUCCAAAGCCUUCCCUGCCUGCAAAAUGUGCUGGGACAAUGGUGGCUCAGAGCUUGUGGGUACAGCCAACCAAAGGAUCCACAUCAUCAGAGAGAGCCCAUGCCCAACACAGCCUGGAUGGCCAGGUAUUGGAAGCUGGAUCGCCCAGAGACCUGAGUAGAAUUAAAUACAACAGGCCAAACACAUGAAAAAGUCAGUAAGAUGAUUCCUAAUGAUAUUCUGCUACACUUGCCCAAUCAUCAUCAGAGAGGCUUCCUCUAGCAGCUAAUGGGAGCAGACACAGAGACCCUCAGCCAAACAUUAGACAGAGCUUGCAAAGCCCAUAGAAGAGGGGAAAGAAGGACUGUAUGAACCAGCGGAGUCUAGGACAACAGGAGAACAUGGCCAGCAGACUCAACAAAGCAGGGCUUAUAGAGACUGAAGCAGCAAUCAUGGAGCCUUCAUGGGUCUGUGCUAGGCACUCUGCAUACAUGUGAAGUUGGUUAGCUUGGGAUUUUGUGGGACUCUUAACAGUGAGAGUAGGGGUAUCUCUAACUAUUUUGCCUGAUCUUAGGACCCUUUUCCUCCUACUACACUGCCUUGUCCAGCUUUGAUAUGAGAGUUUAUUCCUGGUCUUACUCUAUCUUGUUAUAUUGUGUUCAGUUGAUAUCCCGGGAGACCUGUUCUUUUCUGUAGGCAACCAGAGGAGCAAUGGAUCUGGGGGAGAGGUGCGGUAGGGUUGGGGAACUGGGAGGAGUCGGGGGAGAGGAGGCUAUGGUCAGGGUGUAUUGUACG
rnacentral:lncRNA from 1 species